UUUUUAUUUUGAUAGCUAGAAGAUGAGUACACUUGUUAGAGAAUCGUUCAACAAGUAUCCGUAAAUUACGUACCGCACUUUUUCGGCAUUUCCGACUCCCACCCCCUUUCAACACCUCGUAACGCAGCCUUGCAAGGACUUUCCAAACUCAGCAUGAUCCGUUCUUUACUCCUAGCAUUAUUGUUUUUCGCAUGUGUUUUACGAAAUGUUCGAAAGAAAAACUUCUCUGAUUCAGCUUGUCAUGCACUUCGUUGUUAUUUCAAGUGAAAACAUUGACGCACGCUUGUGUACACUUCGCAUUCAAAUGCUCAUUUUACUCACAUUGACAUUCGAUCGUUGUGCAGCGUAAAUUGACGGAUUCUGCUGAGUCAGUUGGAUAUGAGGUAUUCUUGCAAAGGAGACACUAAAAAACACGCAGCUAUUCAGUCUCUGAGAUGAAAAUCUACUUUUCAGUUCGUGUGAAUGUUUCUAAAUUUUGUACGAACUUCUAGUCGGGACUCCACCAAAGUAACAUAUUACAAUAAUAUUGCGAGAAAAUUCUGAUAUUAUUGUGUCAAUAUAAUUUUCCCAUAAUGAAAGGUGCUCUUUCUUAUUUUAAAAAAAAUCCUGUAUGAAGUAGAUAUAUUAAUUAGUAUCUGGCUGGUCAAGAAUUGUGAUGAAACCGCAAAACCUUUACUUGGAUUUCUGUGUUUAGAUUACGAAGCACUAUUUCUUCGCGUCAUUAGAAAGGAGAAUAUUCAGUGGACAGAGGAUGGAGUGACGCGAGUGGCAACUACCAUGACGUCACAAUUGAGGCAGGACGUUGACGACGCGCCGCAGAGGAAGGACCUACCGCAAAGCAAGUUGCAUGAUGCAAUUCAAUAAAGCCUCAGGAGCGGCGGUGGCGGUGGCGUUUCGGCUUGGAUGGGGCCGAAAAUAGGAGAUGAUCGAACGGCGAGUGAUAAGGGGAGACGGAGAGGAGGCACCUCGGCCUCGGCGGCUGCAAUCUCCGGACGAUGCGUCGAAGGGACCGAAGGUACCCGAAAGAGGGCGGCGGGAUAAUUGAGCGUUCAACGGAGUGCAGUGACGUCACCCGUCCCGCCGGAGUCACCCUCUCCCCUCCGAAAGCUACUCCAAUGCCACCCUCUCGUAAAGCUCCCGCCCCGAGCUGCACAAUCUAUCGAUCAACGCUCCUCACUCUAGAUUUUUUCACGACUAGUCCUCUUUCACUUUCUUCCACCCUCUCCUCCUCACUCUCACUCCUGUCCGCUUCCCUCCCCCUCGCCCCGUCUCGCCUCGUUUUGUCUGUCCCUCUCCCUCGACCGUCCGUUAGCGCACCUUCCUUCCUUCGCACCUCGUUUGCUAAUCAGCUUGCCUCUCUUUUCAUUAA